rnacentral:rRNA from 1 species
GAUGAACGCUGGCGGCGUGCCUAAUACAUGCAAGUCGAGCGAACAGACGAGGAGCUUGCUCCUCUGACGUUAGCGGCGGACGGGUGAGUGACACGUGGAUAACCUACCUAUAAGACUGGGAUAACUUCGGGAAACCGGAGCUAAUACCGGAUAAUAUAUUGAACCGCAUGGUUCAAUAGUGAAAGACGGUUUUGCUGUCACUUGUAGAUGGAUCCGCGCCGCAUUAGCUAGUUGGUAAGGUAACGGCUUACCAAGGCAACGAUGCGUAGCCGACCUGAGAGGGUGAUCGGCCACACUGGAACUGAGACACGGUCCAGACUCCUACGGGAGGCAGCAGUAGGGAAUCUUCCGCAAUGGGCGAAAGCCUGACGGAGCAACGCCGCGUGAGUGAUGAAGGUCUUCGGAUCGUAAAACUCUGUUAUUAGGGAAGAACAAAUGUGUAAGUAACUAUGCACGUCUUGACGGUACCUAAUCAGAAAGCCACGGCUAACUACGUG